rnacentral:rRNA from 1 species
AACGAACGCUGGCGGCAGGCUUAACACAUGCAAGUCGAACGCAUCGCAAGAUGAGUGGCAGACGGGUGAGUAACGCGUGGGAACAUACCCUUUUCUACGGAAUAGCUCUGGGAAACUGGAAUUAAUACCGUAUACGUCCUACGGGGGAAAGAUUUAUCGGGGAAGGAUUGGCCCGCGUUGGAUUAGCUAGUUGGUGGGGUAAAGGCCUACCAAGGCGACGAUCCAUAGCUGGUCUGAGAGGAUGAUCAGCCACAUUGGGACUGAGAGACGGCCCAAACUCCUACGGGAGGCGGCAGUGGGGAAUAUUGGACAAUGGGCGCAAGCCUGAUCCAGCCAUGCCGCGUGAGUGAUGAAGGCCUUAGGGUUGUAAAGCUCUUUCACCGAUGAAGAUAAUGACGGUAGUCGGAGAAGAAGCCCCGGCUAACUUCGUGCCAGCCGCCGCCGUAAAAC